GGGCAUUUAGCUCAGCGGCAUAAGCGCCUGCCUUGCAAGCAGGCAGUCGUGAGUUCAAUCCCCA
rnacentral:tRNA from 1 species